CCUACGGGAGGCAGCAGUGGGGAAUAUUGGACAAUGGGCGAAAGCCUGAUCCAGCCAUGCCGCGUGUGUGAAGAAGGCCUUCGGGUUGUAAAGCACUUUCAGUGGGGAAGAAAGCCUUGGGGCUAAUACCCUCGAGGAAGGACAUCACCCACAGAAGAAGCACCGGCUAACUCCGUGCCAGCAGCCGCGGUAAUACGGAGGGUGCGAGCGUUAAUCGGAAUUACUGGGCGUAAAGCGCGCGUAGGCGGUCUGAUAAGCCGGUUGUGAAAGCCCCGGGCUCAACCUGGGAACGGCAUCCGGAACGGUCAGGCUAGAGUGCAGGAGAGGUAGGUAGAAUUCCCGGUGUAGCGGUGAAAUGCGUAGAGAUCGGGAGGAAUACCAGUGGCGAAGGCGGCCUUCUGGACUGACACUGACGCUGAGGUGCGAAAGCGUGGGUAGCAAACAGGAUUAGAUACCCGUGUAGUC
rnacentral:rRNA from 1 species